rnacentral:rRNA from 1 species
AGGGUUUUCGGACCCUAGCGGCGGACGGGUGAGUAACACGUAGGCAACCUGCCUCUCAGACCGGGAUAACAUAGGGAAACUUAUGCUAAUACCGGAUAGGUUUUUGGAUUGCAUGAUCCGAAAAGAAAAGAUGGCUUCGGCUAUCACUGGGAGAUGGGCCUGCGGCGCAUUAGCUAGUUGGUGGGGUAACGGCCUACCAAGGCGACGAUGCGUAGCCGACCUGAGAGGGUGACCGGCCACACUGGGACUGAGACACGGCCCAG